AUUGAACGCUGGCGGCAGGCCUAACACAUGCAAGUCGAGCGGGGCGGCGGACGGGUGCGUAAUGCCUAUGAAUCUGACUGUUAGCGGGGGAUAACGUUAGGAAACGGGCGCUAAUACCACAUCCUAUCACAUGAGCCUAGGUCGGAUUAGCUAGUUGGUGGGGUAAAGGCCUACCAGGGCGACGAUCCGUAACUGGUCUGAGAGGAUGAUCAGUCACACGGGAACUGAGACACGGUCCAGACUCCUACGGGAGGCAGCAGUGGGGAAUAUUGCACAAUGGGCCAAAGCCUGAUCCAGCCAUGCCGCGUGUGUGAAGAAGGUCUUCGGAUUGUAAAGCACUUUAAGUUGGGAGGCGUUACCAACAGAAUAAGCACCGGCUAACUUCGUGCCAGCCGCCGCGGUAAUUC
rnacentral:rRNA from 1 species